rnacentral:rRNA from 1 species
CUAAGAAUAUUCCGCAAUGGACGGAAGUCUGACGGAGCGACGCCGCGUGGAUGACGAAGGCCGAAAGGUUGUAAAGUUCUUUUGCUGGGGAGGAAUAACCGCAGGAGGGAAUGCCUGUGGGAUGACAAGAACCGGCGAAUAAGCCCCGGCCAACUACGUGCCAGCAGCCGCGGUAACACGUAGGGGGGCGAGCGUUGUUCGGAAUUACUGGGCGUAAAGGGCAUGUAGGCGGCUUGGAAAGCCUGGCGUGAAAGUCUGCAGCUUAACUGCAGGGGUGCGCUGGGAACUGCUGAGCUUGAGUGACGGAGAGGGAGCUGGAAUUCCUGGUGUAGGGGCGAAAUCUGUAGAUAUCAGGAAGAACACCGAUGGCGAAGGCAAGCUCCUGGCCGAUGACUGACGCUGAGGUGCGAAAGUGUGGGGAUCAAACAGGAUUAGAUACCCUGGUAGUCCACACAGUCAACGAUGUGCACUAGGUGCUGGGGCGGUAGCUUCGGUGCCGGAGCGAACGUGGUAAGUGCACCGCCUGGGGAGUAUGCUCGCAAGGGUGAAACUC